rfam:Medicago truncatula strain A17 chromosome 5, whole genome shotgun sequence.
CCCUUAACUAUUAAAAGUUUCAUUUUGGUCCUUUAACUUACUUUUUGGUUUUGUUUUGGUCCCUUAACUCAUCCUCUGUCAACCACUUUGGUCUUUUAUAUUAGGAUGAAUGUAUUAGAGUUAAGGGACCAAAAUGAAACCAAAAAAUAAGUUAAGGGACCAAAACGAAACCAAAAAGUAAGUUAAAGGACCAAAACGAAAUUUUUAAUAGUUAAGGGACCAAAAUGAAACCAAAAAAUAAGUUAUGGGACUGAAACGAAACUUUUAAUAAUUAAGGAA